CCUACGGGUGGCUGCAGUGAGGAAUAUUGGUCAAUGGACGCGAGUCUGAACCAGCCAAGUAGCGUGAAGGAUGACUGCCCUAUGGGUUGUAAACUUCUUUUAUAUGGGAAUAAAACGUUCCACGUGUGGGAUUUUGUAUGUAUCAUAUGAAUAAGGGUCGGCUGACUCUGUGCCAGCAGCCGCGGUAUUACGGAGGAUCCGAGCGUUAUACGGAUUUAUUGGGUUUAAAGGGAGCGUAGGUGGAUUGUUAAGUCAGUUGUGAAAGUUUGCGGCUCAACCGUAAAAUUGCAGUUGAAACUGGCAGUCUUGAGUACAGUAGAGGUGGGCGGAAUUCGUGGUGUAGCGGUGAAAUGCUUAGAUAUCACGAAGAACUCCGAUUGCGAAGGCAGUUCACUGGACUGCAACUGACACUGAGGCUCGAAAGUGUGGGUAUCAAACAGGAUUAGAUACCCGAGUAGUC
rnacentral:rRNA from 1 species